CACCUGGGGAGUACGGUCGCAAGAUUGAAACUCAAAGGAAUUGACGGGGGCCCGCACAAGCGGUGGAGCAUGUGGUUUAAUUCGAUGAUACGCGAGGAACCUUACCAGGGCUUAAAUGUGGAUUGACAGGGGCAGAGACGCCUUUUUCUUCGGACAAUUCACAAGGUGCUGCAUGGUUGUCGUCAGCUCGUGCCGUGAGGUGUCAGGUUAAGUCCUAUAACGAGCGCAACCCCUGUUGUUAGUUACCAGCACGUAGAGGUGGGGACUCUAACAAGACUGCCGGUGCAAACCGUGAGGAAGGUGGGGAUGACGUCAAAUCAUCACGGCCCUUACGUCCUGGGCUACACACGUGCUACAAUGGUAGGUACAGAGAGCAGCCACUACGUAAGUAGGAGCGAAUCUAUAAAACCUAUCUCAGUUCGGAUCGGAGUCUGCAACUCGACUCCGUGAAGCUGGAGUCGCUAGUAAUCGGAUAUCAGCCAUGAUCCGGUGAAUACGUUCCCGGGCCUUGUACACACCGCCCGUCAAGCCAUGGAAGCUGGGGGUACCUGAAGUCGGUGACCGUAAGGAGCUGCCUAGGGUAAAACUAGUAACUGGGGCUAAGUCGUAACAAGGUAACCGUA
rnacentral:rRNA from 1 species